UUAAAAAGAAAAAAAGAAAAAAAUACCCAGGAAGAUAGAAAUGGAGUUGCUAGGUUGGUAAUAAUAACUCAAGAAAUUUAGAGAAAAAAAUGCUAAUUUUGUUUAUUUUACUGUUUAAAAAUUCCAUGCUGGAAGACAGCAACUCAGCAAGGUGGAGGAUAUGUCUGUACCAUGGAAUAAUACAAAUCUGUAACCUUACAACUGGUCUGGCCUCAGAGAUACAUUGGAUGCCUUCACUGAAAGAGAGCAGUACAUGGGGAUGCUGA
rnacentral:lncRNA from 1 species